AUUGCCUGCUCUCUUGUAUUGCUGAGGUUUGCUACCAACUAGGUGGGUUUGGCUAUGGAGCUUGUCUAGUGCCCUCUGUUGGUAGCAACAGCAAUAUGCACUACCUGAAUUGCAAGACUGGUUCAUUUGCAUAUUUGGGUAGAUUUGCAUAUUGCUAAUUCUGCAGGCAGGUGAGAUAUUUACUGUUAUAUUGUCUCCCCCACCCCUUUAAUUGUUUAUAGUGUGUGUGUGUGUGUACUGUGUAAUGUAUUGCCUGCUCUCUUGUAUUGCUGAGGUUUGCU